UGGGGAAUAUUGCACAAUGGGCGAAAGCCUGAUGCAGCAACGCCGCGUGAGGGACGACGGCCUUCGGGUUGUAAACCUCUUUUAGCAAGGAAGAAGCGAAAGUGACGGUACUUGCAGAAAAAGCGCCGGCUAACUACGUGCCAGCAGCCGCGGUAAUACGUAGGGCGCAAGCGUUAUCCGGAAUUAUUGGGCGUAAAGAGCUCGUAGGCGGUUUGUCGCGUCUGCUGUGAAAACCCGAGGCUCAACCUCGGGCCUGCAGUGGGUACGGGCAGACUAGAGUGCGGUAGGGGAGAUUGGAACUCCUGGUGUAGCGGUGGAAUGCGCAGAUAUCAGGAAGAACACCGAUGGCGAAGGCAGAUCUCUGGGCCGUAACUGACGCUGAGGAGCGAAAGGGUGGGGAGCAAACAGGCUUAGAUACCCUGGUAGUCCACCCCGUAAACGUUGGGAACUAGUUGUGGGGUCCAUUCCACGGAUUCCGUGACGCAGCUAACGCAUUAAGUUCCCCGCCUGGGGAGUACGGCCGCAAGGCUAAAACUUAAAGGAAUUGACGGGGUCAUAGCUGUUUCCU
rnacentral:rRNA from 1 species